rnacentral:rRNA from 1 species
ACGAUUUGCCCACAAACGUUUUCAUUAAUCAAGAACGAAAGUUAGGGGAUCGAAGAUGAUCAGAUACCGUCGUAGUCUUAACCAUAAACUAUGCCGACUAGGGAUCGGGUGGUGUUCUUUUUUGACCCACUCGGCACCUUACGAGAAAUCAAAGUUUUUGGGUUCUGGGGGGAGUAUGGUCGCAAGGCUGAAACUUAAAGGAAUUGACGGAAGGGCACCACCAGGAGUGGAGCCUGCGGCUUAAUUUGACUCAACACGGGGAAACUCACCAGGUCCAGACACAAUAAGGAUUGACAGAUUGAUAGCUCUUUCUUGAUUUUGUGGGUGGUGGUGCAUGGCCGUUCUUAGUUGGUGGAGUGAUUUGUCUGCUUAAUUGCGAUAACGAACGAGACCUUAACCUACUAAAUAGUACUAUUACCGUUUGCUGAUUUGGGACUUCUUAGAGGGACUAUCGGUUUCAAGCCGAUGGAAGUUUGAGGCAAUAACAGGGUCUGUGAUGCCCUUAGACGUUCUGGGCCGCACGCGCGCUACACUGACGGAGCCAACCAGUAUAUCCUUUGCCGAAAGGUACGGGUAACCUUGUGAAACUCCGUCCGUGCUGGGCAUAGAGCAUUGCAAUUAUUGCCUCCUCAACGAGGAAUUCCUAG